CAUUGAAGUAGAUAAUUACAUUGAUUUUUCAAAAAGCCUUCCUUUCCUCAACUAAACCCCGCGUUUUCUUCUCCCUCCCUCUUCCUCCUACCCAACCCAAUCAUUUCCCGCUGGACCUCCAUCUCCCCAUCCUUCUCCACCGCCGUUCACCGCCCAGAAAGGCCGAAACCCUUCUUUCGCCACAAUUCAGAACCACCUUACACCUUUCUUCCCUUUUGUUUUUUCUCUCAAGCCUUUAAGCAUCACAGAGUAUGGGAAACUGUAACACCUGUGUGAGACCAGACUCCAGCCCGGAGUCCAAGACGCACCGUACAAAUCACAGACGCAAGAAGAAGUCCAAAGAUCGGAAGCCAAAUCCAUAUGCGGAGGAAUCUGUCCGAUCCCCGGCUCCGAUCCGGGUAUUGAAAGACGUGAUUCCCCUCAGCCACCGGCCUCGGAUUGGUGACAAGUACAUCCUGGGCCGUGAACUCGGCCGGGGAGAAUUCGGCAUCACAUAUUUGUGUACUGACCGAGAGACUAAAGA
rnacentral:misc_RNA from 1 species